GUAUUCAUAGUCCGGUCUUAAGUUUGUACUUAAGCCUGUCUUCAUGAAGACGGCCUUAUCGGCUGUAAGUUAUGAUGUUUUCAGAGUCAUUCUUUAAGAUAAACUUGAGUAAGUAAAAAGUUUUAAGCAGGAUCUUAUUUUCAGUAAGAUAAGCUUUAGUAAGACCCAACUUAAGACCAAGUCAACGCGUGUUCGUCAAUUUCCGUGAAAAUUCUUAUGUUUCCAACAAUCUCAUUGGUUGAAAAGUACUUAAAUUUUGACAAUGAAGUUUUUUAUUCAAAAUUGUAAACAGAUGUACAAAUGUACCUUAGAAAAUUGUAAGCCUCAAAUUCAAGCCUCUAGUUCAACUAGAAAAUUAUUACCGCAAGAUCAGAAGAAAAUAUGUCAAAAAAAGGAAAAAGUACUAAUUUUACCGCUGUAGAAAAAAAAUAUUUUCUACAAAUUUUAAAAAAUUAUGCCCAAGUAAUUGAAAAUAAAAAGAGUUAUGCUGCUACAUUAAGUGAAAAAAAAGAAGCAUGGGAUUUCAUCGCAACCGACUUUAAUUCAUCUAGUAUAAUUACUGAAAGGCGAAAUGCAGAUCAACUCAAAAAACUUUGGUCAAAUCUAAAAA